rnacentral:rRNA from 1 species
CAGUCGCCACGGGAAUACGAAGGGUGCAAGCGUUACUCGGAAUUACUGGGCGUAAAGCGUGUGUAGGUGGUUGUUUAAGUCUGUCGUGAAAGCCCUGGGCUCAACCUGGGAAUUGCGAUGGAUACUGGGCGACUAGAGUGCGGUAGAGGAUAGUGGAAUUUCCGGUGUAGCAGUGAAAUGCGUAGAGAUCGGGAGGAACAUCAGUGGCGAAGGCGGCCAUCUGGGACAACACUGACGCUGAGGCACGAAAGCGUGGGGAGCAAACAGGAUUAGAUACCCGCGUAGUCCCUGUCUCUUAUAA